CAGAACAGCAUAACAAUGCUAGUAGAUGAGGAUUCAUCACCAGUGAGAGAGGAGCAGAAUGUAGAAUGAGAGGCAGGACAUCUCUCCAGGUUAUACUUCAGCUAGUUGGGGGGCAGUAUUCAGAACAGCAUAACAAUGCUAGUAGAUGAGGAUUCAUCACCAGUGAGAGAGGAGCAGGAUAUAGAAUGAGAGGCAGGACAUCUCUCCAGGUUAUACUUCAGCUAGUUGGGGGGCAGUAUUCAGAACAGCAUAACAAUGCUAGUAGAUGAGGAUUCAUCACCAGUGAGAGAGGAGCAGGAUAUAGAAUGAGAGGCAGGACAUCUCUCCAGGUUAUACUUCAGCUAGUUGGGGGGCAGUAUUCAGAACAGCAUAACAAUGCUAGUAGAUGAGGAUUUAUCACCAGUGAGAGAGGAGCAGAAUGUAGAAUGAGAGGCAGGACAUCUCUCCAGGUUAUACUUCAGCUAGUUGGGGGGCAGUAUUCAGAACAGCAUAACAAUGCUAGUAGAUGAGGAUUCAUCACCAGUGAGAGAGGAGCAGGAUAUAGAAUGAGAGGCAGGACAUCUCUCCAGGUUAUACUUCAGCUAGUUGGGGGGCAGUAUUCAGAACAGCAUAACAAUGCUAGUAGAUGAGGAUUCAUCACCAGUGAGAGAGGAGCAGAAUGUAGAAUGAGAGGCAGGACAUCUCUCCAGGUUAUACUUCAGCUAGUUGGGGGGCAGUAUUCAGAACAGCAUAACAAUGCUAGUAGAUGAGGAUUCAUCACCAGUGAGAGAGGAGCAGGAUAUAGAAUGAGAGGCAGGACAUCUCUCCAGGUUAUACUUCAGCUAGUUGGGGGGCAGUAUUCAGAACAGCAUAACAAUGCUAGUAGAUGAGGAUUCAUCACCAGUGAGAGAGGAGCAGGAUAUAGAAUGAGAGGCAGGACAUCUCUCCAGGUUAUACUUCAGCUAGUUGGGGGGGCAGUAUUCAGAACAGCAUAACAAUGAUCAAAUAUGUACAAGAAGAAUAACAGGAAUGGAUGUCCCAUAGGGAACAGCAUCAGGUAUUAGUGGCGUCAUCAUAACGUGACCAUUGAUUAUGCCUGGAGCUUUUGUUUUUAGCAUAGCACCUGAGGUUGUAGUGACUUUAUGUGUGAGUGUGGUGUUACACAUGAGAGUUCCCACAGUAACUGCUCUGACUCAUGUACUAAUACUAUACACUGUUCAGGUUGGGUGUCCUGAGGUUCGGAGACUGAGUUAGUCUAUUGAUUUGUCUGCUGUAUCAGUUGGUCUCCUGAGUGUUGCUCUCUGUGUUAAAUCUCUCUGCCAGGAGGCUGGGGAUCAAUGGAUGUAUUAAAGGCCUAUUGGUUAGGACCGGAUCAUUGGAGAAAUGUCUCACUUUUCCUGCCGAUAGACAAAUAAAGACCAUUGAACAAAGA